rnacentral:ncRNA from 1 species
ACUCUGGUUGAUCCUGCCAGUAUAUAUAUGCUUGUCUCAAACAAUAAGCCAUGCAUGUCUCACUACACUCGAGUUAACAGUGAACCCCAAAGCGCUCAU